GACGAACGCUGGCGGCGGGCUUAACACAUGCAAGUCGAACGGAAAGGCCCUGCUUUUGUGGGGUGCUCGAGUGGCGAACGGGUGAGUAACACGUGAGUAACCUGCCCUUGACUUUGGGAUAACUUCAGGAAACUGGGGCUACUACCGGAUAGCAGCUCCUGCUGCAUGGUGGGGGUUGGAAAGUUUCGGCGGUUGGGGAUGGACUCGCGGCUUAUGAGCUUGUUGGUGGGGUAGUGGCUUACCAAGGCUUUGACGGGUAGCCGGCCUGAGAGGGUGGCCGGGCACAAGGGGACUACGAUAGGGCCCAGAGUCGUACGGGAGGCAGCAGUGGGGAACAUUGCACAAUGGGCGGAAGCCUGAGGCAGCAACGCCGCGUGCGGGAUGACGGCUUUCUGGUUGUAAACCGCUUUAGCCUGUGACGAAGCGGGAGUGACGGUAAUGGGUAAAGAAGCACCGGCUAACUACGUG
rnacentral:rRNA from 1 species